rnacentral:lncRNA from 1 species
GGGGGAUUCAUCUCUCUCUCCUGCAAAUUCCGUCACGGCACUCGACUCUUUCUUCUCCUCAUCACGUAGUUUUCGCCAUCCACGCACUUCCUUCGCAUGACACGAUCAGCGUCUCUUCCUUCGCUAUAUAUAUAUACUGAGACACACAAACAACGACCUUCUGCAGCACUCUCGACGGCCAUGGCCCGCGUUCUCGUUCUCCUGGCAGUGCUUGCAGCCGCCUCGGCAUGGGAGUCUGCGAAGGCUCCCCCAUGCAGCAAGAUUACAGAGAUGAUCGUGCCGUGCAUUCCCUACUUGAUCGACAAGGCGGCGCACCCAGGACCGAAGUGUUGCAGCGGGGUGAGAGACCUGCGCAAGGCGACCAAGACCCACGACGACCUGGUGGCCAUCUGCGAAUGCCUCGAGCGCGCCGCCCACCUCUUCCCCGGGAUCGACCACCCGCGCGCCGACAACCUCCCCCACCUCUGCGGGGUGCGCUUCAACCUCACCUUCUCCCCCUCCGUCGACUGCAAGAAGUGAGACUCUCUCUCUCUCUCUCUCAUAUGUAUAUAUAUAUAUAGCUAUCAACAGUACUAUCAUCAUACACUGAUCCAUACACGGUGAGUGAGAUCACAAGCUCUUCUUCCGUUGGCAGAAUUCCAGGGCCCGAAGAGCUGGAGAAGCAUCUGCUGUAGACUCCCUCCAUCAGCGUCUGCAUGCAUGAGCAAUCAAUCGCAGCAAAAGGAGGUCGCAACAACAUGAUUGCUCAGUGUUCACUUUACUCGGAAAUCUCACUCUUCCUUCAGUUGAUUCAAUAAAAUUGUAUGGUCUCAUGUUCAUCAAGAUAUGUGAAUCAGCACUACAUGACAAGUGUUGAGGAUCACAAAGCACCAAUGACAGAUACUUCUUUUUUUUCUUUUUCGUUAAAAGAAAAACCAUUUAUUCAUGCAUUCAUUCAUUCUCUUAAGAUGCUGAUCAACAAAAUACACGAAAUAAAAAUAGAUAAAUCCACAUGAAGAUCAUUGAACUUUAAGAAAAUAAUAUUUUGGAUACUUUUUAAUAAUCCUUUCUUAAUUUCACCAAUUAUUUCACCUUUGUAUUUUCCAACAUUUUUUAACGGGUAUCAAAGUAAAUUUAUGUUUCAUUCAUUAUAUUAACAGUCAAUAUAUGGUGAUUUACUGUUUUAUAUUUAUAUAUACUGUAAAAUUAAAUCUAAGGUAUAUGUGUAAUUUAAAAUCCUAUUAAAAUUGGUCCAAUUCGGCUCAAUUAGGCCGGACCGAAACGGUUCGGCCGGUUCCGGUUUGGGAGACGUGGCCGCGCGGCUACAUCUCAUGUGCGCCGCACGUGUGAAUAACUAGUCACCGAGCGAUUUGGGCCUUCUCUCGAGGACGGGAGAGCGAGAGGGCGAUUGGGAGACGAGCGCAACCCAAGCAAAGCCAUGAAGAGGAUUCCUCGAAUCAAGUUCCCGCAGAGGCAUCCGCCCAAGCCCACAGGUCCUUCCAUCCUCUUCUCUUUCUCCCCCUCGUACAUUUCCUUUUAGGGUUUCUAAAUGCUCCUUCUUACGAUCGAUUUGAUUGAUUCUCGUAGGAUCGUCCCCGGCUUCUGAUGAGACAACGUUCCUCGAAUCAAGUAUGUUAACUUCCUUUUCCCCUUCGUAGUGGAGGUCUUUCAUGUUUCCAUCGGCGUAGAAGAAUGUAGUAAUCGUGCUAAUGAUACGUGCUUACGGUCACGGGGUUACGUCGAUCUAAAAGAUCGAUUUGGGUUUCCCCGACCGACUAUAUGGUUGAAUUUGAGAUUCACGUCUUGGUUAUGUUUGUUUUCUGUCAGGGAAAGAAGGAACAGAAAUCACGUUGUUAACAAUGUGGUUGAAGGUGGGCAUGAAUUGUGUUUUAUGAACGUAAUGCCAAUGAGAUCGAAGGGGAAUAAAGAAUCAUAUCUCAUCGUGUACAAAUCCGGAUAUGUAACAUCUUAGUUGAUUAUUUAUAUUGAGAAUAUAAUUAAUAUAUUAAUUUUUUUCUUCCGCUUGUUGAUUGAUUCCUAAUUGCUUUUACUUUCCCAUGAAAAGAAGACAUGUAAUUAUGAAUUAUGCACAUAACUUCAUAGAUAUCAAACAUUAAAGUUCCUAGCGGGUCUCAAUUACAGGAUUGAACCAUGUACAAAAUAUUUGGUGGAGCAUGUCAUAACUAAAUUUUUUAUCUGCAGUAUGAUUCCCUCCCUGAAAAAAUAAUUAAAUCUAGGGAAAUUUAGAAUAAUUGCCCACUUGAGAUAAGUGGUUAUGCUUUUAAGCCAGCUAUGUUCUACUUCCUGAUAAUACUUCAUUGAAUUGAAAAUCCUCGGUUUUUUAUCUUAUUUGUUCUAUUGCCCUUGUUAUCGUGGAAGGAAAAAAGUAGCCUCCCAUAAAAAUUUGUAGAGCUGAUGGGUGCAAAGGUAAUUAAGGAUAAGCCUUAAAUAAGCCCCAAAGUAUGAUUGUUGUUCGUCUUCUUUGCUAAUUUUCAAUCCCCAAGAUUGUAAUCUUUCUCUUCUCCUUUAGCCUCACCUCUCAUCACCAAUCCCUCGCCCCUUCUUGGUUGUCCUCCUUUGAAACACAUAAGCCUCUUAAGAUGUUUUCUUUUUGCCUUACAUCGGUUGCAUGUCCUUAGCAAUAAAAAGUGGUCGGAAACAAUGAUCAUAAGGAAACAUCACAAAUGUUAACAUCAAAUAACUAGAAAAUUAGAGGAUAAUGAAAAAGGUACCUAUCAUUGAUCUCUUUCCAUUCUGCAAAUUAAAUUAUUUCUUCCCAAAUGGACUUACACAGCCUUUAGAACCUUGCUUAAGGCUUUAAAGGUGCAUUUUCCCUUAUCAAAAUGCAUAAGGUGGAGUAAAAAAGAGUAACAUGGCAAACGGAGAUGUCUCAGGUGGAUAAAGUGCCAUGAAUUAGAACACAUCUUGUGAAAGUGCCAAAUCUGUCUGGUGGGCAAUUUGUAAUUUUCCUACUUCUCUGUGCCCGAGCCUCUAGUAGAUCCUUUGUUGUAGAUGAAUCUUGAUGAGAACAAGAGAACAAUCACUGCUUGCAGUUCUUGGAUAUAAUCAUUUUGGGCCCAUUCCAGCACAUAAACAGCAGAGAAAUAGCACUGGGACUUUCGUAGUAAGUAGGCCCUUUACAUCUUGGAGCCCUAGAUUCAUCACGUUAAUUGUCACUGUGUACAUGUUGUGUUAGUGUCCUGUUCAUGUCAGUGUAUCCAUGCUUCCUAGGCUCUACGGUGAUUGCAGAUAUUGUGUGACAUUUUGCUAGGUAUUAAUGGGCCUUACUCUAUCAGUUAUGGACAUAAGUGAUACAUCUUCUUUUCCAAGUUUUACCUUCCUAUGGUAAUUCAUAUUUGCAUUUCUUUUUUAGAUGUAACAUCCCAACCCAAGGCUGCCUCAUCAUCUGGCGAUGCUCGAAGUUAUAGAUUCCGAUCGGAUGUUCCUGCUCCACCUUCCUACACUGCUGCAGGUGGAAAGGCUUCACUCUUGCCAAAGCGCAUACCAAUAUCAGAUAAAGAGAUCGAGACCAUUUUGGUGCGUGAAAUUCUUUCUUGUGAUUCUUACUUGAUAAGGUCUAUCUAUCAAAACUAUAUAAUUAAGCAAUGAAGUCACUGCCUAUUUUCCUUUUUUAUAUGUUUAUUUGUUCUCUGUAAGAAGUUUUUCUACUAAACUAUUUUUCUUGGUGCUAUAUAAUAUUUACCUGUGCCAGAUUAUUGUUGCUAAUAUAAUAGAUGGCAGCUCAGAAAGUGUUUGUUAGGUGUGGACUCUUUAGGAGCUGCGUCUAGGAGUCUGAUAUUUAAUUGAGAAUAUUCCAUGGAGUAUAAUUUUGUCCAUUUUAUGACAAGUCUAUUAAUAUCCUAUGAUGUGUAUUAUGACAAGUCCUUACUACUUGUAAAGAACAUUUGCAUGAGCAGCUAGUCUGUGUCUGCUGAUACUUUAGAUCUGCUGGGUUAGUUUAGAACAUCUGUCCCAACCAGUUUGUUGCCGGGACAGGAAUGUGUCCUUUUCCUAAGGGAUUGCUUAUGUGCUAUUCCUGAAAUGUGACUUCCAUCUUUUUCUCCUAAAUUUUCAACCAUCGAAGAAGUUUUUCUUUAGGUCAGUUCUGCUUCUAUCAAUAAUCUUGAUCUCUGUUUUCUUUAUGUAACUGUGAUUUCCUUUUUUCUUUUGGUUGACUUUUGAUCUUUGUCAAAUAUCUGUGUUAUGUGGGAGUUGGAGCAUGUAACAAACUGUCCUACUAAUCAUUCUUUAGUAUAAGUGUGAUCCACUAGCUAUGAUCAUUUCUUUAGAUGCAUAUAUGUUCCAAGUCAAAUAAUCUUCUGACUUGGGUUCUAUUAAAAAGAAAGUGGGUUUCUUUUUGUUGGCAAUAUGUGAACUUCAUUUUUUAUCGUGUAAAAGAACUAUGCAAUCCUUGAGUUUGAAGGCACAAAAGUAACUCUCCUUUUUGUUAUAGUCAUAUUAUCCUUUGUCAUAUGCCCUGAUGAGCAUUCUAUUUUUCGCAGUUGGGUGGCUGUUUUUGAUUAUGCAAGCUGUCGGUUGCGCUCGUGAGUAAUAUUGCAUGAGUGUUAUGGUUGUAUCUCAAAGUACAUUUCUUAGGCCACAAACUUUUUGUUCCCUGGAAUUUGAGGUUUGACCCUUAAUUUUCCUGCAUUUAUUGUAAUAUUAAUGUAAGAUUACCAACUCAAAAGAUGGUUACUUUUUUUACCAGUUGUAAGGUGGCAUUUCUUUCUAAGCUCUUUGAGAUGCUCAACUUCAUUGGAUCUUGAAACUUGUUCUAGUGAUGGUAACACCUUUAAGUUUGCUUCUUGAAACAUGGAUCUGUGACAGGUCAUGCUUGUGUUAUGGAACAUUCAAGCUUGGAUGAUUGUUUGCUUAUCUUACAUUUGGUUUGCUUAUCUUAAGUUGAUGAUAUCAUUCAUUGGAACCAUUAGUUUAGUCGAAAAGAUAGAAAACCAUUACUAGUAUCAGAUUAAUUGAAGCUAAUUUGUAGGUUUCUAGUUUCAUUGGAGGUGCAAUUAUCAAACUCCCUUUCCUUCUUUGAAAGAAAUUAGGAUGCACACAAUCUUAUGCUUAAAAAUGAAAAUUAAAUCCAGAAGAUAGUUAAAUGAAAAGUUCAAUGAACCUCCUAAACAAUUGAUCAAGAAAAAUGUAAUGACUAGGAUUUCUAUAAACAUUAUUGACUCUUAUAUACAUAUUCACAUUGGCUUUUCUUGAUAGAUAGAUUGUUCCCUAUUGUAAGAAAAGAGAGGUGAGAAGAAAGAGGAAGGUCCCCAACCUCACCAGAGCCUGUAUUGUAUACUGUGUACAUGUAUGCAUAUCCAAGCUACAUCCUCCUCCCACCGGAGCCUGACUCUCUCUGGCAGUUGAAGUAGACGGCGGCGACCGGCGAUCCGAGGUUAUAGAGCUCCGCGAAGUCCCUGGUGUUGAAGUUCUGCCGCCACCCGGGAGCAUCCACAGCUUGCCGGCUGGGGAGCUGCCUGAAGAGCACGAAGACGUAGCGGUGGAUGCCGAGCUGAGGCCGCGGGCUCUCGUAGCACACUACCUCCUGACCUGCAGCCAAUGGGUGUUGCAUGCAUGCAUGGCUGUGAGACCUAUUUCUGCUCGAGUGCGAGAGUCACGUAUGCAACGAGGUAUUUGAUCUUGUUCUGCUUGAAGAGAUCUUACCGUAUGUUGCUUCGGUCUUCGCGGGGAUGUCGGUGAUCAACCUGCAGCAGUGGAAGGAUCAAAAACUAGUUUAUUUCGUUGAGACUUCAGUGAGAAAAGCUCGCACAAGAACUAAACGAACGAGACAAUCACACGGUGUGAUGCAACAGAUAUGAGUACGUAUCUUCUUCUUCUGCUUGUAUUGAAGCAUCAAAACUGGAUUAUUUUGUUGAGGAUUAAAUGAGAAGAUGAUGGUAUGAAGCAAUACGUACUUCUUAAGCAAGCAAAAACUGUGUGUUGCAUGCAUCCUCAGCUUGUAGAUGGUAGAACAUACAACUAAAUAAAGCAAAAUAAUGAUCGUGUUGAGGAAUGGAAAUGACUUCAAAGCUUUCUUCUUCUUAGAGGCAUCAAAACUAGUUUCUUUUGUUGCGAAUUCAAUGAGAAGAACUUGCUAAAAGACCAUGUGUUGAGUCAUCAGCUUGUAAAAUGGUAGAACAUAUGACUGCAUAGAGGGAAUAAUGAUGGGGUGAAGCAACUAGACAUGACAACACUGCCUUCUUUUUCAUCUUCUUCACAAUUAAAAAGGCUAAGUAGUGUACAUAAAGAUAUAAUACAAAGAUUUCUUUCAUUAUAGUGACCCACUUUGGAUCUAUAAUGGACAAGUUAUGUGCUGGCUGACAAGUUCCUGUUCCUUGUAGAUCAAAGUGAGCUUCAGAUAUAAAAGCAAAAAGGUGAGCUUGCAUUGCAUAGAAUGACAAGUACUCACUACUUCAUGCAUGUGGUCUGGAGCUGCAUGUAUUCUACUAUACAAAAUUAGGGGAUAUAUAUAUGACAUAUCACUCUUACAGAGACAGUUGUUCGAUCAUAUCAGGAUGUACAAAACUGAUCAACAGCAAAAUCACUGGUUUUCCCAAAAAAGAAAACAAAUCUUUGCUAAGGUUACUGACCAGACUACACGAUUGAGGUGUACUUGUACUUAAUUGUUUUGAUGGUUAUUCUUAGAAAGGAGGAGAUUACACUACAUUUAUCUGUGGAGAGAGAGAGAGAGAGGGAGAACUGGAGAGAAGCAAAAUCGGCAGCAGAAGCAGGAUAUGCAUAAGAUAGAAUAAAGUAUUGUUGGUGGAACCCAUUAUGAACAGAGUCUUUUAUCACCAUUAAGGCUUUCUUUUUCUUUAAUCUCUUCUUUAUUGGUAAAGAGUAUAUCUGCAAUCCAUAUCACUCCUCCAAACAGUUCCUCAGUCAUAUCAGCUGUACCAUGCUGCAACAGAUCAUCAGCAAAAUUGCUGGUCUUCUCUAAGGUGGAUGGCCAGAUUACACCACUAAGGUGUUCUUCUCUUUGUUCUAAUGAUUAUUCUCAGAAAGGAGGAUAGAUGCAAAAGUAGCAAGAGCUGAACAAGUGUAUAUAUGUACAUAAGAUAGAAUAAAGUAUUUUCUGUUGGAAUGCAUUAUGAAAGGUGCAUAUAUGUACCAUGUAAUGAAGACCUCACUGGUAUGCUUAGUCUUGGAAGAUAAGCACUUCUAUGAUGUGUAUCUAAUAUAAGCUUAAGGAAGCAGCUAUGAAAGAAGUGCUCACCAGUGCAAAUACUCUCUGAGGGUUGGAUCACUUGGACUGGGAGCAUCUGGGUCUACCAUAACCUGAGAGACAUGCUUUAGACAUCAAGAACCACUCAAAAAUCUUCUGUGUUGCAGAAGAUACUUAAGGUAUUGGGAUAUAUAUAUAUAUAUAUAUAUAUAUAUAUAUAUAUAGAUGCUAAGACUGGUCACUGCAUCAAGAACAUAUAUCAGCAAGUAUAUGGAUGUAUCAUAAGCAUGGAGACUUACCAGUGUGUAGUUGGAUCUGAAGUCACUUCCUCCAACCUCAACUCUGGGCUGCUCAGCCACAGCUGAUGGCUUAAACUCACAUCCAUUGGUGACCUCCCUGGUGCUAUAUAUCACUCUGAGAUGUACACUUCUUGUGAACGGAUCAAGGACAUCCCCAAUCACCCUGCUCACAGCUAAAGAAUCCCUGUCUCUUUGCAUGAGAUCCAGUACUUCUCUGGGUGCAAAUGGACUGAGAGAGNNNNNNNNNNNNNNNNNNNNNNNNNNNNNNNNNNNNNNNNNNNNNNNNNNNNNNNNNNNNNNNNNNNNNNNNNNNNNNNNNNNNNNNNNNNNNNNNNNNNNNNNNNNNNNNNNNNNNNNNNNNNNNNNNNNNNNNNNNNNNNNNNNNNNNNNNNNNNNNNNNNNNNNNNNNNNNNNNNNNNNNNNNNNNNNNNNNNNNNNNNNNNNNNNNNNNNNNNNNNNNNNNNNNNNNNNNNNNNNNNNNNNNNNNNNNNNNNNNNNNNNNNNNNNNNNNNNNNNNNNNNNNNNNNNNNNNNNNNNNNNNNNNNNNNNNNNNNNNNNNNNNNNNNNNNNNNNNNNNNNNNNNNNNNNNNNNNNNNNNNNNNNNNNNNNNNNNNNNNNNNNNNNNNNNNNNNNNNNNNNNNNNNNNNNNNNNNNNNNNNNNNNNNNNNNNNNNNNNNNNNNNNNNNNNNNNNNNNNNNNNNNNNNNNNNNNNNNNNNNNNNNNNNNNNNNNNNNNNNNNNNNNNNNNNNNNNNNNNNNNNNNNNNNNNNNNNNNNNNNNNNNNNNNNNNNNNNNNNNNNNNNNNNNNNNNNNNNNNNNNNNNNNNNNNNNNNNNNNNNNNNNNNNNNNNNNNNNNNNNNNNNNNNNNNNNNNNNNNNNNNNNNNNNNNNNNNNNNNNNNNNNNNNNNNNNNNNNNNNNNNNNNNNNNNNNNNNNNNNNNNNNNNNNNNNNNNNNNNNNNNNNNNNNNNNNNNNNNNNNNNNNNNNNNNNNNNNNNNNNNNNNNNNNNNNNNNNNNNNNNNNNNNNNNNNNNNNNNNNNNNNNNNNNNNNNNNNNNNNNNNNNNNNNNNNNNNNNNNNNNNNNNNNNNNNNNNNNNNNNNNNNNNNNNNNNNNNNNNNNNNNNNNNNNNNNNNNNNNNNNNNNNNNNNNNNNNNNNNNNNNNNNNNNNNNNNNNNNNNNNNNNNNNNNNNNNNNNNNNNNNNNNNNNNNNNNNNNNNNNNNNNNNNNNNNNNNNNNNNNNNNNNNNNNNNNNNNNNNNNNNNNNNNNNNNNNNNNNNNAUAGAUGACAUGGCUUGUCCUUGGAAGGAUAAAUGAUCCUGUGGUUUCUGAUGCCAUUGGGUUUCUUCUUCUAAGGUGUACAAGUUGAAGCAUGUAUUUGACUUGAUGAGCUCUUUGUCUGCAGCACUCACCAUAGAAGUCCUCAUCAUUUCUUGUCCUGUGACCCAUUGGUUGAUGCAUGAAAAAGGAGGGGGGCAAUGACACCUCCUUCAUUUGGUUUCAGCCUUUGUCAUUCGAACCAGUGGUCAUCUCCAUCACCCUCGUGGUUUCCAUGGUUGUCGAUUCCUCAUUGGCCGAGGUAACACUGAUCCUUAAGGCUCAAACCCUACCAUUUACGAGCUGUCGAAUUCCUUUCGUCAGUAGAAAACUUAUCAUAUCGGGAAAGAUCUUCGUACCAAAAGAAUAAUCCAGAAAGUAAAGCAUAAAAUAUAAAUAAAAGAAAUGAUCGACUCAAUAUUUACGUAAUUCAUUCUCCUAAUUUAUAUCCACAAAUAAAAUUUUGAAGGAACUAAAAAUUUCCUUCGGUUAAUUUAAAUCUAAGUAUAAAUCCUUUUAUAUAUCCUCUCAUAUAAUUUUUAAAUAAUUUUUAAUUUUUUCUCUCAUUCUUUCUAAAUUUAUCGGAGGAAACAUAAGAGUACUCUACUAUUACCGUCUCUCAAAAUCUAGAGAUAUAUGAGAUAAUUAUUAAAUAAUUAAAUUAUACUUUCUCGUAUUUCAACACUUUCUUAUGUGUAAAUCCGAUGAUAGUUACAAAGUACUGAAACUCUUAAAGAACUAUUGCUAUAAAAUUUUCGAUUAAGAUUAGAAUCUUUGAAUUUAAUUUAUAGAUAAACUCAAAGAGUAAAAACUGUGUUACAAAGUACUGAAACUCUUAGGCAUUUUAGCUCUAUAAACAGAGGUAGAAUGCAAACCUGUUUGACCUCACAAGGCUUUUCAUGAAGCAUCUGAUAGCAUGAGGACUUGAGUUAGUGUUAUCCCAAGUAGUUGGAAGGAGUCCAAAUCAAAGAAUGGAUUGAGUACUUUGUAAGAUUUGUUGUUAAUAUCAUGCAAAUAUUUUAGCAUCUUGAGUAUUUUUUUUCUUCACAGUAUGCAGCUAUCUUCAUGUGCAAAGGAGGAGCUUCAAAUUGAUUGGUGAUCAGAAUACAGCAGAGGGGCAGUUCAAAGAGAGACAUCAAAUCAGAUUGUUUAUGUUCCCUUCUUUGCCACUUAUGCCUUUAUUUCCAACAUCCCCACCUUUUAGAAUCGCAUGUAUCUCCAUUCCUUUAGUUGGCAGCAUAGAAAGCAAAUGGUAUACGCAUCUUAAGAUCAUGAUGUGGUGACACUUCUACAGCCACAAAUGAUACAAACAAACAAUGAAUUGUGUCAAUUCCAACCCUUAAAUUCUUUAAAGUGCUAUGUUCUUUGUCAAUAACAUGAUCAAUAUCUUCUAUCUUGUUAAUCGAGAUUAAGAUCGCUAUGUUAUCUGUCAAUAACAUGAUUAAUCGAUAUGAUCGUUACGAUAUUUUCUCAUUAAAUUAGUGAUCGAAACACCGCCAAUAUAUAAAAAAUAUCUCCAUAUAUGCUUUUAUUUUGCAUAUUUGAAAUUCACGUAAAUAUGCUAGAGUUUCUAAGCUACUUAUGGGUAUUAUUCUUUCACAAUAAAAAAAAUGAAAAAAGCGACAUAUGUGAUAUGAGUGUUUUAUGUCCUCCAAAUAGAAUAUGAGAUAUGGAUAUUUUGUACCAUCAAACACAAAUAUAGGUGAUUUUUGUCCUUGGACUAAAGCGAGAUAUAAUAUAUGAGAUACAAACAUUUUUUACCCUCAAGUGAAAUCACCUCUUUGAUUAGUUUCUUUAGCUCUUCCAAACACGAUACUACUCGAAGAACAAGAAUCUAUUUUUCCAAGUAAAUUUAUGAACAAAUUUAACCAUAUCAACCAUUUAGCACUCACUUCUAUUGCUAUAGGUGUAAGUUUACUUCUUCUUUUUUUUUACACCAUUUAUAAGAGGAAAAUGUUGCUUUCUUUCCUAGUUUUGUAUUUGUUUUGUAAUCUUCAUCUGCUUGGUUGUCUCUUUUUAGUUCAAUCCUCAGUCUCCCAAAGUUCUACCCCCUCCAAUCUGAUGCAGAUAUAUCCAGUUUAGUAAGUAAUACUGGGAUUAGCAUGAGAUUGAAGGAGUACCCACUCUUAAGGUUUUCUAAAUGAAAGUUGUGAUUUCCAUAGAAGACUACAUGGCUUCUAUUAAAGCUCUAAUGCAAAACAAGGCACUGCAUGUGCAUAUAGUUGUGUUCUACAAAGAAAAGAUGAGUUUUGGUGGUAGAGACAUUGUCUGAUAUGAACAUGAGGCAAAGAUGAAGUGUAACAACAUCAAUCUACAUAUUAGUGUAAAGAUAGGUAUAGCUUUACAGAAAAAGAUACAUUAGAUUUAAUGCAGUACUGUGGGCAAGAAUUGAACAUUGCUAAACAUUAUUUGGAGACAAAAGUUACUAUUCUUUUCCAUAACCUAAAUCAAAGAUGCAUACAUCCAUUCACAUCUGAGCUAAUCAUAACAUCAUGGUUUGGAGGCCAGUUUUCAUCUCAUUAAGUAUCCCAGAUUCUGAAGUUCAUCUUAAUGGAGGUUUGAUGUUAAAAGAAAGCCAUGUUAUUUCUCAUUUUUUUUACAUGCAGAUUUAGUCUUCUUGAUCUUUUUAGCAGGAAGAGAAGCUGUUGAUUGAGUCUUGAAACCCUAGAGAAUUUGUUGACAGUAAUAGAUUGGUUUGGAAAUGGUAUUUGGCUCUGUCAAUUGGAGCUUCUUACAUGGAUGAAUUAGAUUCUCUUCACAAGUAAAUCAUGAAUCUAAUUAGGAAACACAUGAACUUGGGUUCAAUCAUAAGAUUGCUAUUGUCAGGAAAGAAGACAUUGACACCAUUUUAUGAUCCUUCGAUACUAUAAAAACAAUAAAAAAAUAAUGAAAUUAUUACAAGGAUGAUAAUGAAAUCCUUCAUUCCAUGAAAAUAUCAAAACACAUGGUAUAAGAUUUUAUCUAUGACUAGGUGUUAUCCAUCUCGAGAGUCUAAUCUCCGAGGGGUUGAAUGCUCCUUCAUCACUGGAAAACUAGCAUCGGAUGUCAAUCACUUUUGAUGCUCAAAUCAAUUAGAGGUUUGAUGUUAGAGUUGAAGGUGAAGAUCUGAAUCUUGAAUAAUACCUAAAAGGUUUCUCUAUUUAUAGAAUGAUUAGAACCAUAUUCCGAGAAUAAUGAAUGUUUCGAAGAAUAUUUCAUUCCUCCAAUGCAUAAUGACAUAACUGUGUGGAUGACUCGACUCAAAAUAUUCAUCAUAUAAAUGUGUAAAACUACUAAAGACAUAGAUGAACAUAAAGAAUUUGUCAUACUACUAAUCACCUGCACUGCAUAUAGACACAGCAAACCAUAUCAGAUCAGAAGAUGUAGAAGCAAAUCUAGCAAGCCAUCUUGUCUGUUCUUCUUCUCCUCCUCCUCCAAAAGAAAUGUUUAGUCUUACAAGGGUGUGAGCAGCUGAGGUCACCUCCCUGUAGUCAACCCUUGUGAGCACCUGUGCUGUGAGAUCUCAUCAGUGAAAGACUUGGGGAAGAAAAGAGGAGAGAGUGUGAUCUAUAGAGUUCAGUUAACUUGGCUCCACCUCAAUCCAACCCAAUUCCAAGCCCACAACCAAGUUCAAAAUGGCUAUGAAAUAUAUAUAUAUUAUUUAUAGUAAAUAUAUAAUAUAUAAAUAAUAUGUUGCCUAACAUAUGUUCAUGAUUAAAUAAGAUAUAAUCAUACUAAUUUUGUACAUAAUUUAGUAAUGAUUUUCUCAAUCAAUCAUUAGUCUGAUUUAAGGAGAUAAGAUUUGUAAACAACCAAUAGUUAGAUUCUGAAAAAAAAGAUAAAAAUUUAUAUUCCCUCAAUUAUUCACUGAUUUAAAGAACUGAAAGCAUCAUGUACUGUUAGUUUGGUUAUUGAUAGGAAUUAUUCUGCCAUCUUUAUGAACUUGUUUACUAAUGAUUAUUACCUGAUCAUGUGCACGUGACAUUUGAUGCAACACUGACGGUCACGAUAGUUACACGUUAUCCUAUGAGUCGACUUUGUUGUAGAUUUGGAGUCAGUCAACGAAGACAGCUGUGCUCUUAAAAGCCGGUCAGCCAUUUUCCCAAGCUACUUGCGUGCACGUCAAUGAAGGACACCUCCGUCGACGUGUUCAUCUUGUUGUUGCCUUCCGCUCUCGAUGCCGGCCAUGUGACGUCCAUGAAUCCUUCCUUCUCAAGGAAUCCAUCGCCCACCGCUCGACGUCGGCUUCGUCGACCUCGCUUCCGCUGCCGACACCCGUCCGCGAACAGCUGCAAGCUUGCUCUGCUGUCUCCGUCCCUCUCCACCCUAUAAAUACGCCCCCCAACUGCUUGUUGUAUCGCCCCAACCGAUCACACGCUCAAGCUACCUCACCUCCCUCGUUCGCAAUGGCAGCGUCCAGCUUCACUUCGAAGGUCUCGCUGCUGCUGUUGCUGCUCGUGCUGGUCCUCGCCGAGGUCAGCGCGCAGGAGCAUAGCCCGGCCCCCGGCCCUGCGCCGGCCAUGGACAAUGGAGCUGUGGGGGGUUCUCCCGGCGCCUGCGCGGUUGCUUUGGCUUCCAUCAUGUCCUUCGUUGCUCUGCUCGCGCGCUGAGUGCGUGCUCUUCCCUCUUGACUGUAGAAGGGUUGAUUUGUAGAUGACAGGUAGAUUGAUACAUUGAGGAGAGUAGUGAGUCUGAGAGUUAUGAUUCUUCAGCAGAGGAGUGUGCAUGAUGUGUCAGUUAUAUGUUACUAGUUCAUGUGAAAUAAAGGACCUCAUUCAUCCUUGAGAUAUGGACAAGGUGAGUGCAUUCUGCUUCUUCUUCUUCUUCUUCUUCUUCUUCUUGAGUUCUGGCUUGACAUGGAACCAAGACAUGGAGGUCAUAUAAAUGGACGGCUGGGAUGUCAGGAUAAAGUCAACACCGAUUCUGAUCGGACGGCUGAUGGAUUUUCUUUUAUAUUUGAUCAUAGAAACCACCAACCGCCUCGGUCAUCAAAAUACUCGCAACUCGCUUCCGAUACCCACACGUGCCCGCAACCUUGUCGGUCAAACCCGUACCCCAGGCAUCACGCACCGUCCGUUCCUCCCGCCUGCGAAUCCUCUCCGUACGAUGCGUCAUUCCCUUUGAUGUCACUGACACCCGUACAAAAUCUUUUCUUAUACACCGGUCCAGCCCGUGAUGCUCGUCCAUCGUCGCAAUUAUUAUUAUACACACGUGCAAAAUUACAUGUGUGUCGCUCCUACGUCAUUCCUCUAUAUUUAGUUCAGGUUACAUAUAUGCACAUCCAAAAAUAAUAAUAAUAAUAAUAAUAAUUAUAAUUAUAAUAAUUAUUAUUACUAUUAUUAUUACACAUUCAAAUUUCUAUUAACUUUUGAAUUAAAAUUACAAGGGCAAAUUUGUGCAAAGGUGUCUUUUUUUGGGUUUUGCUAAAACAAUAUCUCAUUUUUAUUUUUUUCCACAUAGUAUUCCUAUUCCUAAAAAAAUAAAAUAAAUAACUUAAGGUUAUUAUCUACAUAAAAAAAUUCUCCAUCGAUUAUUCGAUAUUCUUUUAUUUUAAGACAAACAUGAAAGAAGAUCUGAGUAGGACCCAAAUCAACAUGAAUACUUAAAACUUGAUUUAACAAUAUUAUAUGUUAAAAUUAUACAUUUGAACUUUAUAUUUGUACCAGAAAUAUUGUUAUAUAUAUAUAUAUAUAUAUAUAUAUAUAUGUAUAAUUUUAUGUUAAUAUGUUAUUCUAAGUUAUUUAUUAAAUUUCUAAUAAUUUUCAUGUAAAAUUUAAAAUUAAUUUCUCAAUUUUACAUUUCUAAUAUUCUUUUAGUUGUCUAAUAAAAGCAUUUAUUGGUUCAAAUUUAUUUGAACAGGUCUAAAAUUUGUUGAACCAAAAUUGAUCCAAGCUAGAAUAAGAAAAUGACCCAUCACAUGUUGAGAUUGAGAGCCAAAGUUGACUUGUAAAAUAAAUAAUUAUUUUUUGUGGAUAUAUUAAAAUAUGUUUUUUAAAAAAUAAAAUUCAAUCAAUUUUCAGUUCACUUAUCAAAGAUUGACGAUUUAAAGUUUCAUCCAAUAUUAUUUUCUACAAUAAAAUAUUAAUAUAAUAGUGAUGUAUCCAACUUACUUAUCAAAGAUUGAGAUUUAAACUUUUACCUAACAUGUUUUAUAAUGUUACAAGUAGUUUAGAUGGUAAAGUCUUUAAUAAAUUAUUGAUUGAAUUUGUUAAAAAAAUUAAGAAAUUAUUUAUUUUUUAAAAGAUAAAGUGGCAAAGAAAGAUUCGAUAUUAGAAUCUUAUGAUAAUUUUUUUUUAAAUUAUUAUUUUUUUUAUAAGUGAUAAGUGACAAAGAUGAAUUUAAUUUAACGAUAUUAUAAUAAUCUAUCAAAAUUUUUACUAGCUAAGCUAGCUAAUGUUUUAAAAUUUUAUUAUUAUUACAAUGAUAAUACCUAACCUCUAACAAUACCAAUAUUUAUUUGGAUUGUAAAAAGAAUAGGCACAAAAAAAUGUUUUUAUUCUUCAAAACUAAAAGCAAUUUCAUUGUUUGGCUAAUGUUGACUAGCAAUUUUAUAUUCUUCAAAACUGCAUAUAUAUGCCCUUCUAAAGCAAAUUAUAUCCUUAUAAAUUUGAAAAUUUUAUAGAUAUAUUAUUGUAGGUAACAUAAUCACUUGAAAAUUACAAAAAUGAUUUUUUCUAUACCCACUACUCUAAAUUUCAAUUCCAAAAAAUAUUAAGUAUAUUUUGAAUAUUUUAAUGGAUUAAUUUUAUCUAGUUAAUUAUCACAAUUUGAAUCUAUCAAAUGGACAAUAGCAGAAGUGUCAUACAUGAAGAAAUUAAAUAUCUGAAUGCAUAUAUGUACAUGUCUAAGCAUAUAGAAUUCAAAAUUUGAAGGUGCAAAGGUAUUAAAAUUGAUGAUAGAUAUAUACUUAAAAUUGAUGAUAGAUAUAUACUAUAUUAAAAUCUACAGGGGCAAAUAUGUUAUUUCGAGACAAUGAGAGGAUAGAUAUGGAAAAUCAAUAAUCAUCUGUCCGUCAACGAGACUCCUCCGUAACGAAUUGACGCGUAAACUUGCGUUGCAAUGGCGAGGAAAUCGAAGAGGAGGGCAAAUUGUGGCCUUUUCUAGAGCUAAAAGCGACGUCGGGCAAAGAGGGGAUUGGAUCGACCGUUAGGGUUUGGAGAGGAGCGAGACGGAAGGGGGAGGAGAUGGAAGGAGGAGCUCAGCCGACGGAUGCAGAGAUGGCUGAUGCCGGAGGGCAGCCUCCUCAGCCGGUCCCGUCGCAGGGGCAGGAGAGCAUCCAGGCGACGCUCAGCCACGGUGGCCGGUUCAUCCAAUACAACAUUUUCGGGAACAUCUUCGAGGUCACCUCCAAGUACAAGCCCCCCAUCAUGCCCAUCGGGAAGGGCGCCUACGGGAUCGUCUGGUAAUCCUCCUCCUCCGCCCACCCCUUCUCUCUCUCUCUCUCUCUCUCUCUCUCUCUCUCUCUCUCUUGGUUUGCUCCCUGGUGGGGAAAUAUCCGAUCUUGUUUGGCUACUCGUGGUCUCGAUCGCAUUUGAUUAGAGGAAAGUCCUUUUUCUUUUCUUUUGAUGGUGGUUAAUUGUCACUUGGUUGUCGGAUUUGUGGUUGCAGCUCGGCUUUAAACUCGGAGACCGGUGAACAAGUGGCGAUCAAGAAGAUCGCCAACGCAUUUGAUAAUAAGAUUGACGCGAAGAGGACGCUGCGUGAGAUAAAGCUUCUCAGGCACAUGGAUCACGAAAAUGUCAGUGGGUUUGUCAGCUCUGUUUUUUCUAUGUCGUUUCUUCUUUUGCUUUUCCUUUUCUCUGCUUGGUAGUUUAGGAGGGUUUUUAAUGAUCAAUGAUGUAGAUCAAUUAAUGAAGUACCAAAUAAUCAAUUUGUCACUCGACGUCCAUAUCCGGUGUGGCUUUUGCUACUGCGUGAUCAUUUUGAUUCACCUGUCGGUGUUGAGUGAGAAGCACAGAAAAUUCAUAAAAUAUGCACUUUUAAUUUGUGCUUCCUGUAAAUGGGCAAGAGAUGCAAUGUUACAAGUAGUUAAUUACAAAAGCAAACGGAUGAUUUAUCAGGACACAAGGAUUCUAAAAUAGGUAGCUUACUUUUAUUUGCAUAGAGAAAGGACAUAUUGUUCAUUGAUUCAAAAGAACGAACAGAAUAAGCUCUAAAUUAGAGGGAAGUGCCUUUGACAGCUGUAUGGAUAAUUACUUAAGAUAAUAGAGAUGGUAAAAAAUAAAGAACCACAUGGAGGUCUCGUCGCUAGUCUAGCAUAAACAUUGGGGCCUAUAACACCCUCUACUAGUCUACAACUAAGCAUAAUGCUAACUGUUGAUUUUUGUUACAGCCAGAAAACUAAUGGUAGACUCGAUGUUACACUUGACAAUUGAUAGUCCAGAGAUUUCAAGAGAAACUCUUUCUCUAAUAUUCGAUGGAGUUAUGAUCAAGAAGAUGGGAUAGGACAAUAUAACUGUAAUCGAGCAAAACGUUGAAAGUUAGAUGUUUUGUUUUGUUUUGUUUGCAUUUUGUUUCAAUCAUGGAAAUGCCCCUCCUAACAGCUACAAGAUUGAUUUUGUUUAUAGCAUUUGAAUUUUUUAGAUGCUAUAUAAUGAGAUGAAUGAGUUGUUUCACUGAAGAUAUAGAAUGAAGAAGAUUUGUAAUUCUUGGUUGUUGGAGGUAUAUAGUGAAGACCAAGAAUAUUAGUUUGAACUAAAUGUACAGUGUUUGAUAGACUCCUGAUGCACCUGUUAGGAGGGUUUUGUCCAUUUUAGUUAUAGAUGGAGAUUACCUGAAGGAGACAUGAAUAUAAGCAGUUAAUCGCCAGAUUCAUAGACAAUUGCUGGUGAUACUUGUCCUAAGUUGUAUGAGAUUCAGGACACUGACCAAACUUCAUAAAUAUUUUAAGCUAUUGUUGUUACUUAAGGUCUAUAAGGCUUUAUUGUCACUUGAACUAGGAUUUGACAGAAGGAUCUGAAGAGGAACUAGAGGUGAGCUUGCAUCUCCAAGGGGAUGUGCUAAUGUGUUAUUUGUGGAAAGAUAAUAAAUUAAUUAAAUGCUGAAAAUGUUUAAACAGCAUAUUGAAUAAGGUAGGCUGUGGUGAUUGGACCAUUUAUUGUCUUCAAUCUUCAUUUUGAGAAAUCUUUGCAUGCAAUUUCACUACAGUGUGAUAGCUAUAACUACAAUUAAAGCAAGAACGUGCUGACAAGAAAUCAUUCAAUAAGCCUCUUUUGAUGGCUGACCAUAGAAGAUGGGAUAGAUUCACACACAAUCAUCUAAUCUGAACAGCAGGAAUCCAUCCAUACUGUGUCUAUCCUGAUCAGUUCUAAUUUGUAUUAUUAUUUGGAUGAUAUCACUGCAACUAUGUUUUUAAUAAUAAUAAGCUAAAUCCCUGUCAUGGAUGGUUAGGUAAUAUCAAUUCUGAGAAGCAUUUGUUUGAGAAAUUAAAGAUUUAAGGAUGACGCUCUUCCUCAUAUCUUUCUUUCGCAAAAAGGAGAAAGGAGGAAAACAAAAGAAAAGGAAUCACAGGAGAACAUCACCUUUUUAAGGGAAUCAUUAGGUCUCUCAUGAUCUCAGGAGAACAUCACCUUUUUAAGGGAAUCAUUAGGUCUCUCAUGAUCUCUUUAGAUAUUUAGAUUUAUUUAAGAUUAUAUUGAACAUAAGGAUGAUGUCUUUUAUGAAUCUAUCAAUUAUAUAUUCUCAAUCAAUUGAGAUUUUUUAAUCUUGUAUUAGAAAUCAUGUUAUUAUAUAUCUAAAUCAAGUGAAAGGUCUUGUUAUGAUAAAAAUAGGUAUAGGAAGAAAAGAAAAUCCACCCACCAACCACUAGAUCCUAUGAUUUGAUCUCACAUCUUUUGGUUCUUUUUUUUCAUUCUUAUAUAUAUAUUUUUUGUUUGAACUAAACUAGAAACAUCAAGGAAGAUAGAUUGAGAUAUAGAGGCUAUGAGGAUUUUCACAAAUUAUUUCUUUAAUUUACCCGUUUCCCUAGUUUCACCAAUCCAAUGUACAUGCAUGCCACAUAAUUCUUCUCAUUGUUCUCUGUCUUUACACCACUUUCUAUUACCAUUAGCCAUUGUUGUGGCUUGUGCUAUAUGGUGUAUGGGAUAAUGUUGAUGGUCAGAACACAUGCAAUAGAGACAAUAGAGGGAAUAAAGGAACAUAAAUAGGUGUGCUACAAGGAUGCAAGUUAUGACUAUGGAUAAAUGUUGGUAGUGAUAGUGACACCUAGUACAUAUGGAGACAGAAAGACAAAAAGCCAAUACUAUGGAGCAGUGAUCUAAAAAGCGCUAGGCGCCAAGAUGCAAAAACGCCUUAGGCGUUAGGCGCUCGCCCAAGUGAAACGAGGCACUAAAAUAUAAAAAAUACAUAAAUUAAUUAAUAAAUAUAAUUAUUUAAAUAAAAAUAUGAUAUUAAAUUAAAAAAAUCUUAUAGAAUCACAAUAUCACAUUAACAAAAAAUCUCAAAAUUCAAAACAAUAACAAAAUUUUUAAAUAAAUAAAAAUUAGCAGUAUUAAAAUCAAAAUAAUAUAUUAUUAAUCUAAUAAAUAAAAAAUAUUGUUACUGGUAUACAGUUAACAGUUUACUAUUAAUAUACUGUUAACAGUAUACUAUCGAGUCGAUGUGAGUAGAGAGAGUAAGAGUAAUAGUAGCGGCAAUGGUAGCGGGAGUGGGAGCGACGAUAAUGGCAAGCAACGAUAGCAGCGGUAGUGGCAGCGGCAGCGAUAGUAGUAGCAGUGAGCAGCGGUGUAAGAGUAAGACUGAGGCUGCUGAUUGAGAAAAGCAGUAGUGGUAGCAGGAGCGGGAGCGACGAUAGUGACAACGGCAACAGCGACAGCAAUGGCAAGCAGUGACAGCGGUAGCGGAGAGCAGCGACAACGAAGACGGGCAACGAUAGCAAAGAGAAACAGUGGCAGUAGAGAGGAAAUGUCAGUGGCAGAAUCGCGAGCAAGGUUAGGGUUGGAGAAGUCGCGAGAGGGAUGUUGGGAGGCUGAUAUUGGUGCUUUAGUUGGUUCAAUCGAACCAACUGUAGCACCGGAGACCGAACCAAACGUAAAACACCGGUUCGGUCACCUGGUUUAACCCGGGCGCUCGCCCGAAGCGCCCGACGCCUGGGCUCGGGCAAGCGCCUAGGCGGCGCCUCUUUGAAGCGAGGCGCCUGGACAUGAAACGAGACGCUCGAGCCUCGUCUCGCCUUGCCAGAUCACCUAGGCGAACGCCCAAGCGCCUAUUGAAAUCGUUGCUGUGGAGAAUAAAAAUAAUUAGUAGUUGACAUGGGGGCUGACCAUGAGAGCUAAGGGAGAAAGCCACCUGCAACUACAAGUUAAGAGGGAGAAGCUACUGGUACACAUGCACACAAAUGUGUAUUUUUAAUUAUACCAAGAUUAUUUACUUGAUUUAGAUACAACAAUAAUAUGAUUGUUAAAACAAGAUAAACAAAGAUAUCCAUUUCUCUAAACAUUUAAUCAAGAAGACAUUAUUUGAUUAUUUGAUAGAACGAUAAGGUUACUCACUUGUGACUGUUAAUCGUUGCUGUGGAGAAUAAAAAUAAUUAGUAGUUGACAUGGGGGCUGACCAUGAGACCUAAGGGAGAAAGCCACCUGCAACUACAGGUUAAGAGGGAGAAGCUACUGGUACAUAUGCACACAAAUGUGUAUUUUUAAUUAUACCAAGAUUAUUUACUUGAUUUAGAUACAACAAUAAUAUGAUUGUUAAAACAAGAUAAACAAAGAUAUCCAUUUCUCUAAACAUUUAAUCAAGAAGACAUUAUUUGAUUAUUUGAUAGAACGAUAAGGUUACUCACUUGUGACUGUUAUCAGAGUUUGGGUCACGAAAAUAAUAUUUUCACUUAAAAGGGUAAGAUUGCAUAUAUUGACUUUCCCCAGAUCUCACAGGGUUUUCCAUACGUUGAGCCACUUUUUCUAAUAAUUUGAAGUAUUUAUGUAUUAGCAUGAUGAUCUUUUGGAGUAUUGCAAUAGGCAUCAAUCAAUUCAAUAGUGGUAGUGUCCCACGAAAAUAAAACUGAUAUAAGAGUUUUGAAUAUCGGUCCGUACCGGUGUACCGAGCUCUACUCAGUACGGUAUGUGCCGGUAUGUACGCUAGGACAUACCGACGAUACACCCUAAAACCUUAAAAAUAUCUUUACCUACCACGCCAGGGCGUACCGAUUAGUACGCCUUGGUAAUGGUCGAAAUCCGAGGCGAUAUAAGUUAGUACGCCUCGGUAUCGGUUAAAAAAAAUUGGUACCACCUUGUAGAGAGAGGUAUGCAUACCGGUAUCCUCUAGGACCGGUACGUACCGCCUGUAUUGGGCAGUACACAUUGAAAUUGUGUAAAAGUUUCUAGCUUCAUUGAUUGUUAUCCGUUCAAGUAAAAGUUUCUAGUACACAUCAAAAUUGAGACAUCAGAGUACCGGUAUCACUUGUUAUCCAUCCAAGUAAAAGUUUCUAGCUUCAUUGAUUCAGACAUCGGAGUUCAUUUGUAUUGGAUGCUAGUGCAAAGCAAUUUCGUGGCCAAAAAAUUUUCUGUUGCUCCAGAAACAAACUGUACAUAUAACAAAGAAGAUACACAAGACAUUUCCUUCUUUACAGGUCAAUGAUUUUGUCCAACCAAUCUCUCCUUUUGCUCAUAUGACAGUGUAAUCACUUGGGUUUGAACUGUAUCUUUACUUAACUUUCUAUUGUACUAAUCACCGGGCAUCAUGGGUUCAAAUCAACAGCAAAAUCAUUGCAACUUGGAUGGUAGGAAUUUGUCAUGGGUUCAAAUCAACAGCAAAAUCAUUGCAACUUGGAUGGUAGGAAUUUGUCAUGGUACUGACAGUCUGACCUCUUUGGCAUGGGGUAGGGCUAAUGUACAUAGGAUCCUCUAUAGAUCCCAUGGUGAGCAGACCUCCAUAUAACCUUUUGCUAAACACCAUGCCACAUGCCCAAUGGUACACUUGUUACUGUAUAUUAGUGAUUCAGCUUUGGAGUAUAGCUUGCACCAAUGUAAAAUGCUGAGCUCAUGCUAUACAGCCAACUAAAUUAAGUAUCUCUUCAAUUGAUGUUGUAUUCUCAAAGUUAUUCAUGUUUUCUUUGAGGCAGAGAUUGUUGUUCUUGGGACCUCAUUUUGUUGUCUAAGGGUGCAGGAUCCUCCUUUACUGAAACUCAUCAGAAAGUAAAAAAUGGCUAGUUUUGUUUAGAACCUUAAAUUUCUGUUUAUGAAGUGGAGCAUCAAAAUGCAAAAAAGGCCACACUGAGUUUGUUGGGAAAAAGAAAAAACUCGAAGUUGAUCAUUUUUUCUGACUCAUAAUUUUUGCAUAUGCAUACAGAUAGUUGCAAUCAGAGAUAUAAUACCACCACCUGUACGAGAGACAUUCAAUGAUGUCUACAUUGCUUAUGAGUUGAUGGACACUGAUCUUCAUCAAAUUAUCCGUUCAAACCAAGGUCUUUCUGAGGAGCAUUGUCAGGUUGUAUCUUUUAGUUCUUCACAUUAUACAGAUCUAUUAUACUUAUUUUAUUGUUAGAUAGUCAUAUUUGAUUUGUCACUGCACCUAUCAUGAGUUUGAGAUAGCAUCAGAUAGUCAUCUUACAUUAGGCCUUGUCAAGGGAUAUUCUGUUUCGAAUGGAUUUACAUAUUGUUUCCCUGUUCAUUAACUUUAGUACUUCUGUGUAUUACUUCAGUUAGUAACAAAAGAUGGCUAAAUUUAUUUGGUUUUGAUUAUAAUUUGUUUGAUUACUGACCUAGAAAACUUUCUUUAUUUUAUCUUAUCUAAACAAAUUGCUCGAGCAUCAGUGAGACUUUGUCACAAGAAAAAGGUUCAGAAAGCUCACUGGUUUUACUUAAUGAAAGCUUUAAUAAUUUUUCUGUAAUGGUUACCAGCCAAGCUUAUGAAAAGCCAAGCUCAAGCUCAAACCUGAUAAUACCCAUAUAAUCCUUGUAGGAAGCUAAACCUGGGAAAGCAGUUUGUUAGCUUGGCUUGGCUCAUUACAGCCUUGCAAAGGCCAUCAAUAAGUCAUAAGCUGAACAGAUCACAGUUCCAAUAGGAAUCUUAUUUUCUUGCCUCAUGGUUUGGUCAAACUUGUUAAUCAAUCAUGUGGAAAUUUAUUUCUUCUUUGAUUUAAAUAUUCUGGGAUUUUCUCAUAGUUCAUCGUCUGACUCGUUCCAGUUGUCUCUUUUGUUUCGUUCCCAUACAGUAUUUCCUUUAUCAGAUUCUUCGGGGUCUAAAAUACAUACAUUCAGCAAAUGUUCUUCACAGAGACCUAAAACCAAGCAAUCUCCUCUUAAAUGCCAACUGUGAUCUGAAAAUUUGUGACUUUGGACUUGCUCGUACUACCUCCGAAACUGAUUUCAUGACAGAAUAUGUUGUUACAAGAUGGUACCGAGCUCCAGAAUUGUUGCUAAAUUCUUCAGAGUACACUGCAGCAAUUGAUGUGUGGUCAGUAGGCUGCAUCUUUAUGGAACUGAUGGACCGGAAGCCUCUAUUUCCUGGAAGGGAUCAUGUGCACCAGCUACGGCUAUUGAUGGAGGUAUGAUCUUCUCAUUCAAACCUUGCCUUAUGUGACAUUUAUAACUAUUUCUUGCUAAUUUGACAUGAAAUGACUAGUAUUUGGAUUCGUAUCAGUGCUCUUUAAACCAAGAUUUCGUUCCUUUUCAAUUGGUUUUGGAUCUUAAUGAACAUCCAACACAAGCUAUUGAAUGAAUGAUAAAUGUCUUGCAUUUAUCUUCACUCUAACAUGUAUUGCCUUAGAAGUUGACAUAUUAUAUUGCUUUAUAUUUAAUGUAUUUGAUGUCCUCUAGUGUACAUGUGCAUCUAAUUUUUAUUUUGGUAAACUACCUUGUAUCAUGCAGCUUAUUGGCACUCCAAAUGAGGUUGAUUUGGAUUUUGUGAAUGAAAAUGCAAGAAGAUACAUUCGCCAGCUUCCUCGUCAUCCACGUCAGUCCUUUCCCGAAAAGUUUUCUCAUGUUCACCCUGCAGCUAUUGAUCUUGUUGAAAGAAUGCUAACAUUUGAUCCUAGACAGAGAAUAACUGGUGAGUUCUUAUUUUUCAGCUUUUGCCGGUUUUAAUUAAUUUGAGAAAAUUGCUAAGAUAAUCAACACAGUCAUAUAUUAUUUUACAAGUUCUGCUUUAUGAUGCACUUUGUGUUAUGCAUUGUGUGUGAUUAUAGAAUUGUGGUUGUUGCCCCUUUAAAUUAUAAAACCAUGACUGAUGUAAUGAGCUCUCUCAAAUUGUUUCAUGCAUGGUUGCACAUUAUUAAAACAUCAAAAAUUAAAAUAUGUUGACUUGUACUGUCACAACUUAAUAUUUUGUCGAUUGGCAGGUUAGCAAGUUUAUCUCUUGACGAUAACAUUUCUAUACCGUUUUGCAAGCAGAUUAUCUUUUUAAUUAAAGAUACAAGAGAAUCACACACUUUCUACAAUUCUGAAUUAGCUAAUAAAUUAUAACCUUCAAGGGAUGAUACUUGGAAAUCAAUCAGAGACCUACGCUUAAUUAGUACAUAAUUUUAAAUAUAUUCUUCUUAUGUACAUCACAUUUCAUUACCUGCUUAAUAUUUCCUUUGUCUGCUUGCUCAGCAAAGGAUUAGUCUGUGAAAAAUAUCUCAUGCCCUUAUUUCCUUAUCGUGUCAUGGUGCCUUGUUUGAAUGGUUCAUUUACUUUUCCAUUUGUUGGCAGUUGAAGAUGCACUUGCACAUCCCUACCUGGCAUCUUUACACGACAUUAGUGAUGAACCAGUCUGCAUGACACCUUUCAGUUUCGACUUCGAGCAGCAUGCACUCUCUGAAGAACAGAUGAAGGAGCUAAUUUACAGGGAGGCUAUUGCAUUCAACUUGGAGUACCAGCAAUGAAGUCGAUCAAGGUCCUAUUUAUUGACAGAUUGGCCUUUUAGUCAGUCUAAUUCAUGUUGUUCUGUAUGGCAUUGUCGCUGAUUUCUCGAUGUAUAUAUGUGCUUCUUACAGCCAGUUGAAGCUCUCUAUAACUCUAAUUGACCCAAAACCUCAGCGACUUGGUCGAUUCUUGGGCAUUAUUAUGUGGAAACUUCUUGUCACAUUUUUAAGUAGGUCGAUUAGAAGUUUUGCUUAUGUGGUGUUUUUAUAGGGUUCUCAUUUAUUUUUAUGGAAUUUAGCCCUCUAAAAUUCAAUAUGAGGUUGAUUAAAAAGGCUGACUGCUGUUCCUCGCAGGAGAUGUUUGGAGUCUGUGGUUAGCAGCAGGAUGUUUCACUAUUUCUUCUCUUCUCUCCUCUCCUCAGUAGUAGGAGGGCGGGCUAAUUACAUGUUUGUUCUGAUAGUUGCCUCCUCGUAGCAUGGAGUUUUUGGACUUUUAAAAAUCACACAGUUUCCAAAAUUGUUUUUUUUUUUGGUUUUGAAACGAGAAAAUUAAGUAAUUGGAACAGAAUUUAUUCCCAAAAAUACAGAAUGCUCCUCCAAAGGCUGGAGGAGAACAAAAAAAUACCCUGCCUGAAUGGCGAGGUUGGUUGUGGGCUGCCAUAUGACUCUCCCUGUCUGCAUGUUGAAAGCCAAAACAUUUAAUCUUACAGUCAUAUGAAGUAUAUCAUUAUAGAUAUUUCUCAAAUAUCAUGGAGGCAGAUUAGAUUGAGGACAAAUCAACGUAGCUUCAAAGCAAUCAGAUUUUACACUAAUGUUGGUCAUACUGGGCUACGAGGCCUUUUGAGUACAUCUCAUAUAGCUCAGUAUUUGGCGUGCAAAGGGCUUAAAGCUCGGCGACGUAGUUGUCGAGCAGCGUAAGAGCAGCUCCGACAUAGAGCGUCCACAUCUACGACAUCCUCUUUUUUCUCUUCUUUUAUCUCACCUCUCGUUAUCGCUCUUCUUUUUUAUCCACAAUAGUCACCUGUAACUCCUAACGGUGUCAUCAUUUGUCAUCAUCAAAGAUGUAGCUAAGACGUUGAAAUUAUAUUUUUACCCAUCAUUUUCAUGCUUUUAUAUGUAAAAUCGAUGUCGUUAGGGUAAAUGGAAUUAGAUGUUUCACUUUCAUAACUAUAGAUAUCUCAAUGUAAAUUUUUGAAAUCUAAGGAUUGGGAUGCUAAAGAGGUCUAACUAAAAGGGGUACUAUGUAAUUAGCCCUCUUACAAACCCCUCGUUUGCCCUUAUCAUUGCACCAUUAUUCCUUACCUUCAUCAUCACCCUUUUUUACCGCUCUCAUGUGGUCUCCUUCAUCCUAUCAUUCCUCAACCUCAUCCUCUUCCGUUGCUCUCACGUGGUCUUUCCAUCUUACCAUUGUUUGACAGUGUCGAGGUGGGCGACGAAGCUGAGGGCAAGGAGGCGCCCAUGACACUACCUCUGCCUCAUCAAUCACCUGACCCUCGACUUCCCCUCCCUCCUUCCUUCGCAUGGCCUACCAUGCCAAGCAUUGCUCAUGCCUCAUUGAGCUACUCUGUUUCCUUGAUUGAGCGAUGACAAGAGACAAAAGCAAUGAGAAGAAAUGAGCAAUGACACACUUUCUUCAGCAUAGGUGGCUUGAAAUCCAAGAGGCGAAGAAUGGGCUAAGGACAAGGCCACACAUGAGGACAAGGGGUAAUCUCAUCAAAUGAAGGUGGUAGAAAAGAGCAAGACGACAUUUGAGAGCGACAAAUAAAGGCACAACGAUAGCAAUUGACAAGGUGGGAACCAAAGGUAUUCUCUCUUGCUCUUAUAGCAAAAAGAGAACAAUUCAUUGUGUACUAACAGCUAACAGCAACAUUUCCUCAUUCUUUUCAAUUAGAAUGAGAUUUGUUAUCAAUCAUCAAACAAAACCCCCCAAUCUCACUAUGCACCUUAAGAAGCAAAACACCUCCUCCUGAGAAGCUUAGCUAAACAGUUCUAUCGUUUGGAUCGUUCCUUUCCAAUUUUCGUGGUAGAAAAUUUAAUGGCUGUAAGCUUGAAAAAUAAAAAUAAAAAACAAGGAUUAAAAUUUUAUAUCGUACCAAAGUUUCGAGCUAGGACAUACCGAAUAGUACACCUAAUUUAGACAUAAAAUCUUCGAAAAAAAAAAUUAAGAUAGAGUUAUUAAAUUAGAAAUAAAUAUAAUAAUAAUAAUAUAAGUUUAACUAAACCAAUAUAAAUUAGGUAAGAAUAUAUAAUUAUAAAUUAGGUAAAAAUAUUAUUACAUAUCUUUUUUUAUUCAUAUUUCGAUCCGUUAUGAAUUACUUUUUUUUUGUAAAUAUUAAAAUAUUUAUAGAUAAAUUAUUUAAAUUAUUAAUUCAUAAAUUAUUAUUUUGUAAAGUUUAAGAGUGUAAAUAUGAAAAAAAAAACUUGAGAUAAAUUAAGAGAGUGUGAAAAUGAAAUGGAAUGAAAUAAGAGAAGAUAAGUUUAAAAAUCGCUAAAAAAGAGCUUCAACGAUCAUUUUAACACUAUUAUAGGUCAAUAAUGAUCAUAAUUGAUCAUUAUCGAGUUGUGCCGGAUGAUAACAAUUAAAAUUUUGAUCGUUCCGUCCGGUAGCGACCGAUCCAUGUACCAGUAUGCUGUUGGAUCGAUACAUACCGUUCGUAUCAGACAAUAUUAUUCAUGGUUUGCAGUACAGGUCCGUACCGCCCGGUACGGGCGGUACGUACCGAUCCGACAGGCUUCCGAUACGCGGACCGCCUGUUACCGGUCCGGCACUGUAGCAAUACUGUAGUACUGUAGCACUGCUACAGUGCUCGGCACGGCUGAAUAUACCGCUCGGUACACCUGGGUGUACCGAGCGGUAUACCGUACCAUACCGGUACCGAGCCCAGGUCGAAACUCCGGUACGGUACGGUAUUGCGAACCUUUAUAUUAUUCAAAAUUAAAAACCUUAAUGGAAAGUUAGAAUUGUGAGAAAACCACAAAAAAUUUGAAACUUCACUCCAAUACAGGAAUUUAGGGAGGACUUAACACAGGCACACUGUGAUGUUGAUAUAUCUACUGAAGACAUGACAAUGAAGGAAUCAGAUUCAGCGCCAGUAGAUUUCAAAGCCAUUCCAUUGAGAUAAAAUUCCAACGGCAACAUAAAUAUUCACUACAGGCACGAGAAGGAAAGCUAGUACUUGAAGAUUACCCUCGACCAGCCCAUACAUGCCACAAUGUACUUCAAUGGCGAAUUUAUCUUUGCUGUUCUGACCCUACAGUUGGCUGAACUCACUGCAAAAUUUAUUUGCAGAUAUUAAAAUGGUGAGCUCUAGAAAAACUUGGCUCCAAAACUUAUACGGCAUCAGAUAAGCAUAUAAAUCCUACCUGUGCAUCUUCACCUGCACCGCUCUUUGCAGUAUCCUCUGCAGAGGCCAAUAAGAACAUCAGCAAUCAGGGUGCAAACAUGACAGAUAAUCAAGUUAAGAUCACGAGAAGUGAAUAACUGAAAAUAUAAGAAAAGUAAGCUUUUGCUGGGUUGUACUGCCAGGGUAAAGUUUAGAAAAUAAAUUAAACACUCACAAACAGCACAGAAGGUCACCGAGAAUCCACAGUUUCCCAAAUGUUUUAUUUAAGGGAUAGGAAUCAGAAUGAAUUCACAUAGUUUCAUCUCGUAAAGGUUGAUAUAUCUGUAAGGCGCCAUCACACUUCAGCAUGAGAAAGCCAAAGAAAAAGUUAUCCACCCAACUCCAAUUAAGUAGCAGGAUCUCAUAUUGUGAUCCAUGCUAAUCUUACUGCCACGAACCAAAUAUUACAUGAGUACUUUUUGCACAUUAUGACAUAAAGAUGUCACUCUGCUAACAAAUAGCAAGAACCUGCAUUGAGAACCUCAGAGCCCAUUUGGCAUUAUUUCUAUAUUCUAUGUUUUAAGAAUAAGAAACAACAAAAAUAUUUUUGUUUUAACUUAAAACUAAGAUUUGAUCAUCACAAUUUAACUUAAAUUCUAUUCCCAAAGAAGGACUAGGUCUGAUGGUUGCUGGUAACUGGUAUUUAUUUAAGGAAGAAGAUACUUAUUAAUCACUACUUCCAAAAAUUCUAGAAACAAGUAAAAUGCUUUAAUAAAAUAAAAAAAAAAAGUCAGAAAAAAAACUAUCAGUUUAGAUUUUUUACAAACAAAAGACAUAAAAAUGAAGGGGGAAAAAGAAAAGCUAAACAGGUUUUAUCUUAUGUUCUCAUAGAGGAGAUGCUCCGAAGAUAGAAACACCCUUAUCCUAUAUAUGACAAUAUAACCUGAUACUUGAUUAUUGUGUAUUGAUUUACAUGAACAAGCAAACUAAAUUAGGAAAAUGUGGAGUAAGUGCAAAUGUUUAGCAUCCUCAAAAAAAUUAUGGGCAAACCAAAUAUGACUAAAUUAAUAGUGAAUAAUGCAUUUGGAGACAAAUUACUUUCUUGCAUAUGCCAACAGUUAAGAAUCAACAGAGGUAAAAGAGAAAGCAAACUGAAGCAAUGAGCAAAUAUGCAUCAUCAAAUUUCUCAAGCAGUUAUAUUCAAGGGAAAGAAGUGUCAUUGGAUCUAAUGACAAUAUGGAUAAUGUAAAUACAAGCACAGCCAGUGCCAGGGCUUUCAAUUUAUUGGGAAAGAGGUCAGUAAUCUCCUGGUUGUGCUAGUCUAUCAUAGAUGAGGUAGACACUCAGACAUGCAUAAGAAGUCAAAAUAGUAUCCAUCAGACAAACUAUUAUGAAUGACUUUUAAAAUGAGCAGUACAUCAAUACCUCUAUCUAAUUUAGUUCAAAAAAAAUAUAAAUAAAUCUUAAGAACCAUGGCUUACUGUUCAGAAAAUAUACAAGAAUGUGUCUAGGUGACCAUUUACAGGAUCUAUCACCAAUGUGCCUUUGCAUGCAGCAUUUACUGACCAGAUGCUGGGAACAAAUAGGCAUCAGAUGUCUAUAAUAGCAUCAGCUGCCAUUUGGUAGGUCAGGGUUCUUCUAACACAUAAAAUAAUAGCUUUUCUCAAAUAGAACCAUACAUUUCCAGAUCAUGCUAAAAAUAUUUUAGUGCAUUUAAGAAUCUUGAAUUUUUGCUAAAGCAUCUAAGAAUCCAAAGUUUAGAUUGCCACUGUUCCUUAGUCAAGUCACUGGAUGGUUGUACCUUUUUUUGUCCAUACCUGUGGACAAAUUCCAUGUCACAUCUAAUCUGGAUAAACUUUCCCACUCUAACUUGAAGACAUCUUCAAUGUAACAAAAGGGAAGGAUUCCCAAAUAUCUAAAAGAAAGUGAGUAGAAGAGUCUGUUCUUUUCCUUUUUGUUUUGCUGGUACAAUGUGCAACUUUGCCAAGAAAAUGUCUAACGUCAUGUAUAACAAAGCUUUACAUAAAUGCCAGGCAAAACAUCUUUAUGCUCCAAGCUUAUGCAUAGCUAUGAACAUCCCAAUAUGCCUUAUUCGAAUAUGCAAGCACAAAAUAAACUUCACGAUGCAAUAAAAUCAGAACAAGCAUGGACCACCACCCCAAUACUAGAAUUGCUAUUACCUCCAUCCUCAGGGAUGUCAGAGGUCCACAAUGUGAGGUUAUCCCUCAGAAGUUGCAUAAUUAAUGUGCUGUCUUUGUACGAUUCCUCACUCAAUGUAUCCAGCUCAGAAAUUGCUUCAUCAAAAGCUUGCUUGGCAAGGUGACAAGCCCUGGAAAUGGAUUUAAAUGACAUGUAAUCUGGAACAAAACCAUCUGAAUGAUGUCAAAUAAGUAAAACUGUAGCAGGUCAUACCUUUCAGGUGAGUUCAUGAUCUCAUAAUAGAACACAGAGAAAUUCAAUGCCAAACCAAGGCGAAUUGGGUGUGUAGGAGGCAGAUCUGCCUCAGCUGUACUGGUAGCUGCCUGUUGAAUGGUUCCAGACAAUAAAAAAAAAUCACUACAGCAAAACACUACUCUGUAAACAAUAUGAAUAAGGUUACAUCACAAGUCUAGUGUAGCACAUACCAA